rnacentral:rRNA from 1 species
GACGUAGGGCGCAGCGUUGUCCGGAUUUAUUGGGCGUAAAGAGCUCGUAGGCGGCUCGUUGCGUCAAUCGUGAAAACCUACUGCUUAACGGUGGGCUUGCGGUUGAUACGGGCGGGCUGGAGUUCGGUGAGGGGAGACGUGGAAUUCCUGGAUUGUAGCGGUGAAAUGACGCAGACUAUCAGGAGGAACACCGAUGGCGAAGGCAGGUCUCUGGGCCACUAACUGAC